rnacentral:rRNA from 1 species
CAAUAGCGUAUAUUAAAGUUGUUGCAGUUAAAAAGCUCGUAGUUGGAUUUCUGGUGGGAGCGAUCGGUCUGGCGCUUAGCGCGAGUACUUGCAUCGUCUCCGGCCAUCCUUGGGGAGAGUCUGUCUGGCAUUAAGUUGUCGGGCAGAGGAUCCUCAUCGUUUACUGUGAAAAAAUUAGAGUGUUCAAAGCAGGCUUAUGCCGUUGAAUAUAUUAGCAUGGAAUAAUAAGAUAGGACUUUGGUACUAUUUUGUUGGUUUGCGCACCAAAGUAAUGAUUAAUAGGGACAGUUGGGGGUAUUCGUAUUCCGUUGUCAGAGGUGAAAUUCUUGGAUUUACGGAAGACGAACUACUGCGAAAGCGUUUACCAAGGAUGUUUUCAUUAA